GUCUUUAUGGAAAUUUAUAAUAUAAAGUUGGACCUGCCCAAUGAUGUAAAAUUUAAUGGCUGCGGUAUUUUGACCGUGCAAAGGUAGCAUAAUCAUUAGUUUUUUAAUUGAAAACUGGAAUGAAAGGUUUGACGAGAAUUAAUCUGUCUAUGUAGUAGAUAUUGAAUUUUAUUUUUUAGUUAAAAAGCUUAAAUAAUAUUAAGGGACGAUAAGACCCUAUAGAGUUUAUAUAAUUAAUUUUUUUAAAAGUUUUUGUUAAUUUGUGUUUUAAUAAAUUGGUUAUAUUUUGUUGGGGUGAUAAUAGAAAAAUAAAAACUUUUGUUUAUAUUAUUGACUUAAAUAAGAGGAGUUUGUUAUAUGAUCCUUUAUUAUGGAUUAGAAGAAUAAAUUACCUUAGGGAUAACAGCGUAAUUUUGUUUGAGAGUUCAAAUCGAUGAUAAAGUUUGCGACCUCGAUGUUGGAUUAAGAUUAUUAUUAAAUGUAGAGGUUUAAUUAAUAGG
rnacentral:rRNA from 1 species